rnacentral:rRNA from 1 species
UACGGAGGGUGCAAGCGUUGCUCGGAAUUAUUGGGCGUAAAGCGCACGCAGGCGGCGAGGUAAGUCAGACGUGAAAUCCCUCGGCUUAACCGGGGAACUGCGUCUGAUACUGGAUGGCUUGAAUCCGGGAGAGGGAUGCGGAAUUCCAGGUGUAGCGGUGAAAUGCGUAGAUAUGUGGAGGAAUACCGAUGGCGAAGGCAGCCUCCUGGGCCAACACUGACGCUCAGGCACGAAAGCGUGGGGAGCAAACAGG